GUCGAAUAAAGGCAAACUCGCCGAAAGGCGGGGACGCAAAGCCACAGGCCUACGGUUGUAAUGACUAUGGCGGCUGGGUUGCCGGC
rnacentral:ncRNA from 1 species